rnacentral:tRNA from 1 species
GUAGAUAUAGUUUAACAAAAAUGUCGGAUUGUGAUUCCUAAGACAGGGGUUAAACUCCCCUUAUUUACC